GAUGAACGCUGGCGGCGUGCCUAAUACAUGCAAGUCGAGCGAACAGACGAGGAGCUUGCUCCUCUGACGUUAGCGGCGGACGGGUGAGUAACACGUGGAUAACCUACCUAUAAGACUGGGAUAACUUCGGGAAACCGGAGCUAAUACCGGAUAAUAUAUUGAACCGCAUGGUUCAAUAGUGAAAGACGGUUUUGCUGUCACUUAUAGAUGGAUCCGCGCCGCAUUAGCUAGUUGGUAAGGUAACGGCUUACCAAGGCAACGAUGCGUAGCCGACCUGAGAGGGUGAUCGGCCACCCUGGAACUGAGACACGGUCCAGACUCCUACGGGAGGCCGCAGUAGGGAAUCUUCCGCAAUGGGCGAAAGCCUGACGGAGCAACGCCGCGUGAGUGAUGAAGGUCUUCGGAUCGUAGAACUCUGUUAUUAGGGAAGAACAAAUGUGUAAGUAACUAUGCACGUCUUGACGGUACCUAAUCAGAAAGCCACGGCUAACUACGUG
rnacentral:rRNA from 1 species